rnacentral:rRNA from 1 species
CGGACGGGUGAGUAAUGCCUAGGAAUCUGCCUGGUAGUGGGGGACAACGUUUCGAAAGGAACGCUAAUACCGCAUACGUCCUACGGGAGAAAGCAGGGGACCUUCGGGCCUUGCGCUAUCAGAUGAGCCUAGGUCGGAUUAGCUAGUUGGUGAGGUAAUGGCUCACCAAGGCGACGAUCCGUAGCUGGUCUGAGAGGAUGAUCAGUCACACUGGAACUGAGACACGGUCCAGACUCCUACGGGAGGCAGCAGGC